GCUCUGGUGGCUUAGGUGGUUAGAGUGUCCGCCUCUGAUGCGGUAUGUUGCGGGUUCGAAACCAGUCACACCACAGACU